rnacentral:lncRNA from 1 species
GGGCUAUAUUUAAUUCUCAUGUUAUCGCCAAGAUGCGUUGUUUUUAUCCACACAGGGCAGGCUGCACAUGUGCCUCCUUCCACUGCCCACUCAGUGUCUGGAGGAUGCCUACUCAAGAUCCCCAGCUCUCUGGGAACUGUCAUCUAUUCCGCUGUUGAAUAGCCGCCAUCUCUACCCAGCUAUGGUAGGAGAUAACCGUACCUCUAGUCCAGACUAUGCAACCGCAUGGUCAGCAUACACAUGGACACCCACAGAGGCCUCCCUCUCAG